GCCGGUUUGGCUCAGUGGAUAGAGCAUCAGCCUGCAAACUGAAGAGUCACAGGUUUGAUUCCAGUCAAGGGCA
rfam:Myotis brandtii contig248039, whole genome shotgun sequence.